GCUGCUCCAGGCCUGAGGGGCCUCGCUGCCCUUCCUACAGCCUGGGGAUGAGGGUGCCCGGCCUCUCCGGGCAGCUGACCCUGUGUCACCAGGACACCUGGCACUGACAGGCCCUGAAGCUGUGGAGCCACAGCACAGAGCUGCCCAGGCCUGAGGGAGAGGCUGCUGAGGCGAGGCCAAGGCAAUGUGGAAGGCUCUGAGCAGGCACCUGUGUGAGGCUCAGCUCAAGAAUCAGCUUUACUAUCAAGUGACCCCUUAGCUGCUGAAUUCUUCACCCUGAGGCAGGGAGAAUGUCACUGUGACCAGUCAGCCCUGUGGGCCUCUUGAGUUCUCCUGCUUCUCAGGGGGACAGAAGCUGGAACACAACAGUUCCACUUAAACACAAGGAGAACUCCUUUGUUGAGGUGAGGGAGCCCUGGCCCAGGCUGCCCAGGGAGGGUGUGGAGGCUCCUUCUCGGGAGGUUUCCAAACCCAUCUGGACAUGUUCCUGUGCUCCCUGAGUGAGUGGAACCUGCUUUAGCAGCGCAUUGGGCAGAUGAGCUCUAGAGGUCCUUUCCAACCCCAUCAUUCUGUGAUUCUAUCAUCUCUCUGCCUGUGUCAUGUGUCCCUCUUGCCAAGAAAGACUGUGUGAGGUAAUUGACUGAUAUAGGUAUGUGCUGAGGGGUAGUUUGAUUUGGGUGUCAGCCCAGUAGUGUUGCCCACGCCAAAGAGAGUUGCUCAAAUCCCGAAUGCAAGUGUUUUUCUCACUCUGGAGUGCAGCAGCAUGUUUCAGAGCUCACUGCUGAAGUUCUCAUGCUGCCAAAGGUCCUGUUGUAAGUGACACUCCCCAGAAGCUGCACAGAUGCUGGUCCAGCUGAAGCCUGCAAGGUCUGACCAGCAGAAGGAUGUACAAGAGGCUCAGCAGAUCAUAGCACCAACUCUCAGCCUACUGUAGAAAUCCUCGAGGAACUUCAAAAGCAUUAGUGGCACCAGAGGCUCCUCUGGAGGCUGUGUAAAUAUUUAAGGAAUGAACAUGAUCAUGGCUGGGACUGCUGGGGGGAAGAGUGAUAGCCAAGUGCCAGAGUCUAUCACAGCUACCAGUGGAUCCUUCAGCCAGUGUGUGGAGCCACUUGCAUUUGUCUGAGAGGAUAAAACAAAGAGCUCUUAUUCCUACUGCACUUCAGGAGACAGCCUGAAUGUGUGUGCACUGAGGGUCAAGAUGGACAAGAACCCCCCCAAAAAACCCCAAUCAAGUCCCUCACCUUGUACUGCUCUAUCUGCUCAGCAUGGGGGAAGUGCACCACUGGAGAGAAGUGGUGAACGUAGGGGCUCUGGAGUCCACCCUGGAAGAGGUAGCGGACAAGCAUGGAGCUCACGUAGGUUUUGCCUGUUCCAGUCGAGCCAUGGAAGGACAUCACCAGGGGCUUCACCGGACUGAGGUUCUCCAGGAACUCCCGCACUCCCCUCAUCACCUGCUGCCUCACCAGCGGCUGUCCCACCACGUUCAUGGACAACUCGCACUCCAGACCUGAAGCAAAGUCACAUCACAGCUUAGGAAAGGCAGGUUGCGUUAUCUCCUGUCAGACGCUGCAGCUGUCCCGGCUCUGAGGGCCCUCUCCGGCAGCCAGCCCGGGCAGCAGAGCGGCCCCACCACCCACCGUGCCCCUCCGAGAGCCCGCUCUGGGGAAGGCAACGCCAGGACCCGCUGCCUCCCCGGCUCCUGCGCCUCAGACCCCCGCCGCGCCUCCGGGGCUCCCCCUCUGCCUCCCGCCCCUUGCCCUCUUUCCGCGUCCCGCCGCCGCUGACCGCGCAGGUCCGGCCCGAAGCCGCACUCGCAGUC